rnacentral:lncRNA from 1 species
CACCUGCUCUCGGGGGCCGCCUCCCCCGAAGCAGCGCCCCACGCAGUCCCUCCCGGCUGCCAAAUGGGCUACUCCUCUCCUCUGAGCCCGAGCUUCUGAAAGAAAACAAAGUUACUGAAAACUCAGACUUUACAGAAAUGCACAAAUUAGAAUGGAAGGAAUCACCAAAGCCCCACCUCCAGAUAAACUUGUACAGACGCCAAUCUGAAAUCCUGCACUCAGCUUCUGGCUCCUCUUUGACUCCAGAGAGAGGCGUUGCCAUUUCCAGGUGGAAGUACCCUUUUUCUCCUGGUUCGGGUGCAACGUGUUCAAGAAAGUCUCGGGUCCUGUUUCUUCUCCCGAUGCCCUGCUGGCUGGGCGGUCUUAGCCCCUCUCCUGGGAGCUCCUGGAUCGUGUGCCGGGCUCCGCUGUUGAGACCCAAGGACAGAGUGGGCUCAUCCCACUAGAACGACCGCAAAGAAGAACACUCCUUCCCUGCAUCGGCGGCUUCGUGUCACAGGUGGGUCCCUCUCUGGCCAGGUUGCCGUGUUCUCCUUCCCAACACCAGCCUCCAAAAGUAAACCGGGGGGUGGGGGGGCAGUGUCUUUGGGAAAAUCUUCUGUGACACCGACGGCGCCCUUUCAGGGGGCUUCAAACGGAAGAGGAGGAGGAGCCCACGCACAUACACGCAGGUGCACCACACGCACGCACACGCAUGCACACAGACGCCAGACUCUUCCAGCCGGAGCUACAGGACUUUGCGGACCUGGGCACGCAGCCCAUCCCUCUGCCCGUCCCUCUUUCCUCGGCCAGCAAGUCCCUGCAGGGCUGCACCUCUGUGGACGACAGUGGCCACCCAAGCCAGGUCCUAGCUCUGUCCUGCGUCCCAGCCUUCUUAUUUUCAGGCUCAUUGCGCCUUCCAGAAGGAACGUCCAUACGCUCCGGCCCUGACGGAACUCUCGGACAUCCAGCCCUUGUUUGAGCCCCGCUCAGGACAGGUGAGGCCCCCGCCACCAGGCAGCACUCCGGGCCUUCCAGCCUUGCAGCCGCUGCGAGCUGCUUCCUUCGAGAGUUUCUGAGCAGGUGUUGUGAAAAUAAUGAUUAUGUGGUUUGGCAGAUUCGAUCUCUGCAGCUAAUUGUUGACACUGAGUUUGUAUUACCCAAUACUUUGGGGUGGGGGACAAAAUAAUGCUAUUUUCUAGCCAGUAAGCCAGCAACUAUGUGUAAAGUCUUCGUCCUCUGGGUGGGGCAUAUGUUUUUCCAAGAAUCAAUUUUAAAAACAGGAUUGGCAGGUGCUGGCCACCUCCAACGAGCUCAAAAUGCAGAUCAAAACAACUGCAGGGCCAGCCUAGUCAGGCACUGACCUGGGCAGCCGUCCCUGAGCCCUGGUGGGGUGUCUAUGUCCGGUGGGCAGUUGAGAUGAAAGAGGGGUCCCCACCCUGCGACAGGCCCUGACCCUCCGACCCG